UACGUAGGGUGCGAGCGUUGUCCGGAAUUAUUGGGCGUAAAGAUCUCGUAGGCGGUUUGUUGCGUCGGCUGUGAAAACCUGAGGCUCAACCUCAGGCCUGCAGUCGAUACGAGCAGACUAGAGUGUUGCAGGGGAGACUGGAAUUCCUGGUGUAGCGGUGAAAUGCGCAGAUAUCAGGAGGAACACCGGUGGCGAAGGCGGGUCUCUGGGCAACAACUGACGCUGAGGAGCGAAAGCGUGGGGAGCGAACAGG
rnacentral:rRNA from 1 species